rnacentral:rRNA from 1 species
CCNNGUGUUUUCCCCAACCGAGCGGGAAGUAGGGGUGGAAGGUUCUUUCCUCCCCCCCAAUUCGGGGGGGAGGGACAUUAUUUUUAUGUUGCGACCUCUGAGCUCCAGAUUGGGACAGAGGGAAUCAGCAUAAUUUUUUGUGGUGCAUUUACUUGAUUGGUGCUUGGGGAUGUUUGAGGCAGAUUUGUUUCCGUCGUUUUGAGGCCAGCUUGCUGGUACCCAAACGGUGUUAGCAUUUUUUGUCUUGGGCAUUUGAGUAUGGCUCACGUGUAUUUAUUGGACAGAUCUGAGUGUAAGUUACGGUCGCAUGCGACACGUGCUUUUCAAUUAGUUCGGUCCAGUUAAUGCUCUCGUACUCGUUCCCCAUGUAAAAGCCGGUCAUCUAUCCGACCCGUCUUGAAACACGGACCAAGGAGUUUAUCGUGUGCGCAAGUUUUUGGGUGUUAAAAACUUAAAAGCGAAAUGAAAGUAAAUGACUCUUUAGAGUCUGAUGUGCGAUCUUGUAAAAAAGUGUAGCAUGGCCCCAUUCUAACUGUUUACAGUAGGGUGGCGGAAGAGCGUACGCGGUGAGACCCGAAAGAUGGUGAACUAUUCCUGAGCAGGACGAAGCCAGAGGAAACUCUGGUGGAAGUCCGAAGCGGUUCUGACGUGCAAAUCGAUCGUCUGACUUGGGUAUAGGGGCGAAAGACUAAUCGAACCAUCUAGUAGCUGGUUCCUUCCGAAA